UUGCUGUAGUCAAAAAUGGCGUCUGGCGACAGCGCAAACAUCUUUCUUUGGAAGAAAGGCUUUUAGCACUUCUACUUGUUGUGGUUUUAAAGACGUGUCCAAGUCAUUUAGACCAGAGGAACGAGUCGCAGCGAACUCCGCUUCAGUCACCAUGUUUAUGACAAGCUCAGCGUCAUGGUGUGACGUACGCUACUCAGCACCGAUUGGCUAGGUUAGAAUUCUCAGGGGGCGGGGUUAUUUGAAUAGGAGAGUUCCCAGAUCCUUUCUCUGUGCAGAAUUAAACAGAGAAGGAGUCUGGCAGGCCAGGCUAGGUAAUUUGGGUAAUGACAGGGAAAUAAUAUUAUAUAAUAAUUUGACGCAGAGACAAAAAAAUAGUUUGUAAAAAUCAAUGUAUUACAAUAUUUCUAUUAUCAAUGAUGAUGAAAGGCAAACGAUUAUAAAUAAUAAUUGAUUGGUCUAAAGAAGGAUGGUUCUUUGAGCUGCUAAAUUGAGUCCACUGAAAAAGACCGGUUUGAUUCCCCAUAGGAUGGUCGUUUAGAUGAGCUGUGAGUUUAGGGUGAACUCGGAGCUCUGGCGGAACCGGGGAAAAUAGGAAGUGAGAUCACUUUUAAGAAGUGUUUGUUUCUAAACUUUGACCAACCAGAUCAGAUGCAUUUGUAAAGGCAUUUACCCAGACCCUCAGACGUCACACACUCCUCAUUCACUCAGAAGAGGCUUAUUCCACUUAAUGUCAAUUAAAUCUGUUAAACAUUAAUUUGUUAAUGUACUGUAGUGAUGAUUGAUGACUGCUACAUAUUUAUUAAAAAUGACCAAUGAGAUGUGAUAUUCCAGAUAAAUUUGAAAUAUCGAUCAGAUUGAUCGUUGAAUGUUUAAUCAGAAGAUUAUAGUUACUUUUUGUUUUAAAAUGUUUUACAAUCACUUAUGUGAAGUGACUAUUAACAUUAAUAAGUAUCUUAUUAAGAGUAGUCUCGUCUUCGGCGUGGACCAUGGCGUUUCCAGCACGUAAGGGAGGGGGAGAAGAAUGUUAUGGCUUACUCUUCCUGGUGGCGAGGCUAGGGAAGAUAAACAGGAGACUGUUUUGGUUGGAGGAGCACAUAAUAUUCCUGGCAGAAGAACUGCUGGACUGUCUGUUGAUCUUUAACGUUGCUGUGAACAAAUAACUUUGUUGGGCAUUUCCAACGCUAAAGCACUUGUUCCCACUGGCAAUGUGGGCUUCCGGUUUCAGCGGACGUGACCCAGGCAUGAUGUGGUGUUUCACUGUGAAACCAAUCUCGUCAUCAGGCCCUGGUCCUCUCCCAGAAGCUAGUCUCUGGUCUCCACUGGCUAGCACAGGAUAUGUGGCUUAGGCAACUGCUGUAAUGUAACAGACUUGGUAGUCCAGUGGUAAGAGUGGGUAAUGUACAUUGAUGUCUUCUAUUUUUUCUGUUAAACCAGAUUAUUCUGACUUCAGUAACCUGCUGGAGCAUGUUACAGACUCAGGAUCACCAUGGUAACACGAUAUGUCCUGCAGAAUAAUCAGAGCUGAGUCAGGACGUCUGAACAACAGAACCUUUACAACUUUGGUAUUUACUGCAAGACUGUUCAUUUGCAUCUGUUUAAUAUUAGUAAUUCAUCAUCUGAGGUCCAGCUGGGAUUAGAGUCUUUACUUGAAGACUGAACAAGAAAUUAAGAGUUAUUAAUGAUAAAAUAUCAGCAUAAAUUAAAAAAAAUAGCUGUAGAUCAGUAACUAAACAGUUACAGGUCACACUGCUGCCUGUACUUUGCAUUCAUGUCCAUCUUCAUGUUUCCAGAGGGUCUGAUCAUGAGUGGUGAUGAGCAGCAACCAGGUUGGUGGAAGCUGCAGGUGUGGUCAGUGAUGGAGUAAAAGCUGAACAUCCACCACAUCUGAGAGCUCCAUUCAAGACGCAGCAGACACCUGGUUCCAGCUGAAAGUGUGCAGUCUUCUUUGGUGGGUUCUGAUGUCAGAGAGAGGGAUCCUCAUGUCCUGAAGAAGUCUGGAGCCUGUUGAGCUCUCUGAAGCAGAAGUUCCUUUAUGGGGUCUCGUGGAUUUGAGAGUAAAAAUUGUCCAUCCCUGACUGAAAAUGUGCAGAUUAAACGUGCCACACAGUUUUCUGUUAUAAUGACCUCUGGCUUUAAAUAAAUAAAUAGAUACUGUCAUGA